ACUAUUGUUUAAGGGGAAGAACAAGACGACGCUAAUAAGCAUCAUCGAAAGCCAUAUAUCCCACCCCCAAAAUUGAUAGCCCUAAUCUUUUCUCCUCCUUUUUAUCCUCUGAUCCCAAUUGCUCUUCGUCAAUCCUGCCUCUCCUCGUGAGCUCCUCCAAUUUCUCCUCCUCCAAUCUUCUCCCAUCAUUGGAUCCACCUCCUCUGAUUCCUCCUCUAAGCUCCUCGUCCGUAGAUCUGAGCAAGGUGCUCAUCAAGAAGAAA
rnacentral:lncRNA from 1 species